CUUUAUUAUAUAAGAUAAAAGAUAAAAAUAAUAAUUUAUCGUAUUUAUUGGUAUUGAGACAAAAAACUCUACCCUGUGCCUAGGAGUUUCCUAAGAUUUCCUAAGUUCGAUCAAAACAACAAAAUAUGAUUAAACUUCCUAAAAAUUCCUAGGAUUUCCUAGUAUAAGCAGUAGACCAGAAAAUUGAAAUAAUUUGGAUAAGAAAAUCUUAGGAAGAAGAUUUGAAGUUCUACAAUUUAGGAACUCUUAGGAAAUUCUUAGGAAAUCCUUAAAGAACAUUUUCAAUACAAAAACAGGCCUCGCCAUACUUGCAUAUAUUGUCAGCUAUACUACAACAAUAAGAAAUGUAAUCAAAGACAGGCUUGGACUCGAACAUGAGUUUUAUGUGGUGUACUUUCAAAAUUCGCUCAGAAUAAUUAGUACUGCAUUUAAAAGAAAGAUAGGUAGGGUGAUAAUUGUAUAAAAUUCUUAGAUCCGAUUUGAACAUUAUAAAAUAAUAUAUAUUGUUUCUAAUAGAAAUGCUACUUGAGAUUAUAUAAAAAAAAAGAAGUCCCGCUUUGCAGAUAGAAGACGGCUCACCAGGGCCCGUAAAACCAAAAUGUACCGGGCGUCCCUCGCUUUAGUGGCCGAGAGGGGCUUGGGCCCAAGGCGCAAAAUCAUAACGGUCGAACGAAAGCCAUUAUCAUAACCUCCAAACAGAUAGCCGUUUAUUCCUGUUAUUUCUACGCGUAAUCCACCUUUUUUGAGGAUUUGAUGGCAAAACAUGGAUUGAAAUUAAAGGACAUUAUGAUAGAGAUAGUAAAAUGUGCUCGAGUUGAAAGCCAGAAAAGAAAGAAGUUUGAGGUACAAUGCAAUACUGUCCGCCCGAGUACGACUCACUCCUCACGUACUACCGCCGCGAGGCGAAUGUGUGGGCUCUGGGCUGCACUCUAUACGAAAUGCUUACGGGCCGUGUGGCGUACAGAGGGCCCAGGCAAGCAGCUAACCAACCCCUUCAAAUCCCCAAGUUCCUUUCAAUGGGUAAUUGCUAUACUUGAGAAGCUGCUUCUAAGGGGCAUGGGGUAUCGUGUAAUUUAGAAGGUGUUCGAUAACGAAUGCCUCUACGCAGACGUCGUUAGCAGUCAUUAUGAGAUUACGAUUAUAUUUUACGUUUAGAAGUAGUUUGCAGCGUUACUCUACUCUUUCUAUAAGCUUGCCUCCCCCAAGCUUCGCUGACAAAAUACUGAUACAUAAUUUUGUUUUCUUUUUCAAGACGCGUCUGAGCUUCUUCAGAAGCUACUCGAGAAAGCGGCGUUUUGGCGGAUGAGCCUGGAGAGCAUCUCGCAGGAUCCGUGGCUCACAAGGGGCUAGACAAUGGGCUUCGACUCUAGUGCCAUAGAAUUCACUAAACAGAUCUAGCUGAAGCAAGGCUGAAGUUUAGGAAAUGUGAGACUCUUCUAAAGGGUCUAGAUAUUCUAAUGUAAUAACAUCCUAGAAAAGCCAGAGUAAGUAGAGGAAGAGUCUUCCUCUAUCAACUCUGGUAAGAGAGUGUUUCAUAAAUCUGUAAUAUCUAAAA